rnacentral:rRNA from 1 species
UACGUAGGGGGCUAGCGUUGUCCGGAAUCAUUGGGCGUAAAGCGCGCGCAGGCGGCUUUCUAAGUCCAGAGGUGAAAUGCCGGGGCUCAACCCGCGCGUGCCUCGGAUACUGGGAGGCUGGAGACAGGUAGAGGCGAGCGGAAUUCCGGGUGUAGCGGUGGAAUGCGUAGAGAGUCCGGAAGAACACCGGAGGCGAAGGCGGCUCGCUGGGCCUGAUCUGACGCUGAGGCGCGAAGGCGUGGGGAGCGAACAGG